rnacentral:sRNA from 1 species
CGUAAACGCAAGGAGGUAGCCAUGGGACUCACACAUUCCUUGAAUGUUCUGAUGAUCAGUGCAGCGUUCCUCUUCAUCGCAACGAUGAUCUUCAUCUGAGGCGAUCAAAGCGCAGUCCGGGAGGUCAGGGACAAAAGCAACAAACCCUGCCGAAACCUAUUCAGGAAAAAUGCAUGGCCCCGGAAACGGCGCCAUGCAUUUU